UUUUGACCCGAUAUUCCCCAGCCACCCUCACCCCUCGGCCGAGCGGGGGGGGGGGGUCCCAGGCGCGGACCCCGGAGGUCCCUCCCCUUCUGCUAGGCCACUAACUGGCGAGGGCGAGCCGAGCGGAGAAUGGGUUAAAUCCUGGGACGCAGGGGCGAGGCAGGGGAGGAGAGAAGUCGGGGGCAGAUAAAGAAAAGGACAGGAACCCAGAAGCGUGGGGGUGGUUUGCCGUAAUGCGAGCGUUUCUUAAUUAGAGCGCGGCUGACAAUGGAGGGGCUGGCAGAGGCUCCUGGCCGCGGAGCGGAGCGUCUGGAGCGGAGCACGCGCUGUCAGCUGGUCAAAAAAGAAUGCGAGGAAGUUUCCUGCAGCAUUCCCAGGUGAAUCUGAUGCAAGUGGAGCUGAGGACAACACUAUGAAAAGCACUGACCUCCCGGAGUAGCUGGUAGACCUCUUCUUGAGAUGGUCUAUGGAAAUGGACACUGCCUAGGAAUCCCCUUUUGCCUUCUUUUAUGUCAUUCAGUCAUUUUUCCAAGAAGAGAGCAGCAGACACCAUAGCUUCCUGGAUACCACGAACCUGACAUGGUUGCUUUCAGCCUAUGGGACCUGGGACAAUAUGCUCCAGACCUGAGGUUUUCAACUCUAAAGUGACACCAGCUGUCUCUGGAGGCACAAGGGCAUCAGUCCAAGAGGUACAACGUCUUUGCCCCCUGGCUUGGUGAGAGAAGUCAAGUCAUAACCACUGAAUGCUUGUGAAAGGCAGACAAAAAUUUGGGACAAGAAUUUUCUCAGGCUACACAAACUCUAAAAGAAAUAGGGGGACAGAGUCAGACUGUCAUGACGACUUUAGUUUAAGGUUGGUAAUGAAGCCACAUCACUCUGCAAUAACUCAGCAUGAAUUUAAGGGCCCUUGACUUUGAUGGAAGGGUGGCUACCUAUAACCUAACUGAAAAAGGAUACAGAGAAAAGCAAUUUUAUGAUUUAGAAGGUAAUCACCUCGUGAAAGAGAUUUCUUCUCUUUGUAGUUUUAGGUUUGCCAUCAAAUGAUUUCAUCCAUAAUUCCAAGGGUACUGUGUUCAUAGCCUUCAUUCUCAGAAACAGUAGAGAUUCUGAGUGGCUUGAAACUCUCAGUGCUAAUCUUCAAUCACAAUUCCAGUCUCUUCUUUUUGAACUCAAAGGAUACCUUUAUUUUGAUUCCUAUGAAAUUGUUAGUGAGUCUAGUUACACAGUCAUGCUAGAAGACACGAGGCUCUGAAAGAGAUUAAAUGGCCCGCCAAAGGUAACACAGCCUCAGUACCACAGAGUCCAUGACCUCAGGUCUUUCUGAGUCUAGGAUCAGAGUUCUUUCCACCACAUUUCACCUGCCUUGUGUACAUAUUUUCAGCUAGUCAUCUUACACCUGUGCCUCCUACUCUUGGUCAGACUUGCUGGUGAUGGCGAUAGAGGCUCCUAACAUCUUCUGUUUUAUGUUGGCUCCAGAGAAAGCUAAUUCUUUGAAGGUGGCCAUGAAUCCGGCUCCAAUCCUAAGUGAUAGAUUUAAGAGAUAACUGAAUAGAAUAAUUUUCAUUUUGAGUAUCAUCUUUGCUCCUCUGAUGCAACAGAUACUGGACAUGAGUGCUCUUAUUCUGUAUUGAAAUUCAUUUCUGCUCUCAUGUGGAAAAAAAAUCCCUUCAAAUACUAAAUGCAUAUGUAGGUUAGGGAAUGAAACAAAAGAGGGUUAUAUGAAAGUCUGUCCUAAAGAGUAAUGGCCCCAAAGCAGAUCAUUUCCCAAAACUGUCACUCUAUCUAUGCUUGUAAGGUUGGUAAGAAAAUGGGUCUAUAAUUUUUAUGUUUCUCUUGGAGGUGAAGUAAAUUAACCUGCUACAUUUGUAUCUGUGGAUUCAUUCAGCGAUAACAUACAUUUUUUUAUUCACCUGGUCAUCUGGGCUAUUGGCUUUUUUUCCCAUAAAUCUCCCUCCAAAUAAACAUUUACCCCUGCCUGGCUGGUUCAGUUUCUGAAAAAUAUCUGUUUUGAAAAGUUCUCUUCUCUACCUAUCAGAAAUCAUUACUCCAUUUUAUAUUAUUUCUAUUCUUUAGUUUAAGGCAAUCUCUUCUCUAUGCUUGUGACUUAGAUGCUUUCAUAACUGCCCCCCCCCACCCUUGCCACCGAGGAGUGAAGUGGGGAGUAGGGGGUAUUUGAAAGGUAGAAAAAUGUUUCUAAGCAAGAAAGGAAAGUUUGCAAGCAGUUACAAAGGCCAUAAUUUAGGACCAAGAAGUAAACUUUGUACUUGCUGUCAUUCUAGAUAGUUCCCCAUGGGCCUCGUAUCCCUCAUUGCUCCUUCCCACCUGUAUCCCUGGUGGGAGAUUCUGAUGCCUAAGCAUUUAGUUCAGAGCCCUUUUUGCCAAGACCUAAACCCACAUUGCCUCCUAACAUGUCCCGCAUUGUGGUGCCACAUGACCCACCUGGCCACCGCCCCCCCCCCAACUCUUUUGGACUGUCUACAUGACUCCUCUUUCCAGAAAGGGAGUUCAAAGCUGUGACAAAGCAUCUUUUCUAUUUAAUCUUACUCUGAAAACAACCCUAAAGAGUUUACUGUAGGCCAGGAGGCUACUUUCCCAAUGUUCUGUUGUAUGUGUUUUUCCUGUCCCUCCCUUGCUUCCAUUUUGCUGCCAACAAAGAGAGGUGUGACCUACUCAAACCAAGGACAUUGGCUUUGCGUCAAUGUUUUCUCCUAUGUCCAAGGACUGGAGGGUGGGGCAAAGGGGCAUAGUUGCUCAGCCCAAGACUAUAUUAAUGAGGCACCCCAAGGCUUAUCUGGGGCUAUAGAAGGGGGCGGGUAAUUUAGAUGACACAUUUGGGGAAUUCUCUGGAGCACUUUCCCAAAUGCAGGGCAUUUUACAGGUAGGGGUGCCUCUUGGUGGACCCCUCUCCAUCUGAACAUUCUUGGGAAAUACAGAAAAUCAUUCAUCUAGUGAACUAGGUCUUGUCCUCAAAAUUCUGCUUUCACCUCUGAGCUUACCUCUUCUGGGUGCCUCCCCAAUCCUCCAAGGUCAUAGUGAGAGGAACAGUGAAGAUUCACCCAUUUUCUUUUCUCCUGGGACCUCAAACGAGGCUCUACAUAUUCCACUGAAAUCGCUAAUUUAUUUUUAAAGGGCCAAUCCUUUGAGGGUAGGAACCCAUAUCUUCUCUGACUUUGCCACUGUCCCAGGGGUAGACGGAUCAUGCUGGUGAAGGAGAGGAGUGAGACUCAUGGUCACCCAGGCCACUGAGUACUCUGCCAGAGGCCCUUGUCUCACUUUCUCUUUAAACUAGAUAGUCUCAAUAAAUUGAUUACAGCCAGCACGAGAACCUUUCUCUGUCUUGAAAAUUCCUACAAGGCCUUUCUAACAGGUUCUUUGAACUCUUCUCUGACUUGUUUUCCUAAGCUCUGGGCUCCCUAGGCUGAGGUAAGUACUCCCACCUCUGUGUUCCCAUGGUGAUGGUCCUUUGAACAAGUGACACUAUUUGAAAAUCGCUUUUCCGUGAGCCCUCCCUGAGCUCCUUGUAUCGAGCUCAGACGCCCACAGAAUGCUUCUCCAAGAUUUAUCUGGCCGGAUCAAUGCCCGGAGGCCAGUGUUGGAAAGCUGCUUUUGAUGCCGAGGCCACGCAGUGGUGACCUGAGGACGCGUGGCUGCGCUCGGACCACCACCACGCGAUGCCCUGAUGGCGGACGAGCCAGGUCAGCCUCUCCCUUCACUUCCCCUCGCUAUGUUACCUGCGUUUUCUAGAGGGUUCUUCCCUUCCGCGCAUCAUCUUCCCUUCCUUUUCAUGAGCUCUCAGGGUCUCUCCAUUCAUUCUCUUCUUUGAGUUGCCACGUCCCUAACACUCCCCCCAGUCCUUAAGUCAUCCCUCGGUUCCUUUCCCACUUUUUUUCUUCCCCACGCCCCCUGGAUCUUUGGUUCCCAGCACUGAUCCCUCUUAGCUAGUGAUUUUACUUCGUGUCUCCGCUCCCUUGCCAACCCUAACUCAUCGCUCUCCAUUUCUAGGAUUUUCCCUCUUUGCCUCUCGGCUUCCAAGGUCAAGGCAAUACCUGAACAGCCACUUCGCUGCAAGAGCAAGACUGCACCGCUUGCUUCCAGCGGCGGGGGGCAGGGGCAUCUUGCAAAGAUCAAAAAAUCUGCAGCGCCUCCUGUAGGAGCAGCUGCCGGCGUCAGCCCUGAACCCGGGCCGGUGAAGAGCAGAGGCGGGAGAAGGCAAUAAGAGAAAUUCUUCCAAAGAGUCUCUUCAAUCAAUGGGAAUAAUUUUAGUCCAUCGUGCUUAUAAACUGGUUUGCAGGAUAUUUUCCCAAAGAACAAUAGAGAAAAUGAAAUGAACCAUUCAGAACUGUGUCCUGAAGUUUACCAAGGUAAUUGAUCCUUUCAUUCACUGGGUCCUGAAUUUUUCAACAGUAAACUAGUUUCAUCUCUUAGUGAUGGUUUCACUAUUACAUGUUUCACAGACAGCAGAAGAUUUAAAUAAUUUCCAAAUGUAUCCCCUAAGUCAGAAAAGAAUGAAUGCAUAAGAUGUUUGGUUAAAAUAAUAAUACUUGUAGAAAUCAGAAGAGAGAAGGAGGGAGGGAGAGAGGAAAGAUGGGAAAGGGAGAGGGAGAGAUGGGAAAGAGAGAGAGAGGCGGAGUGAGAAAGAGAGAGAGAGGGAGCUACUGCAAAACUUGCAGAAGGGAUUUGCACCUGUACGACUUGAGGUUGCUUAAUGUCUGCUCAGCUCUAGAGGUAUUCAUCAGGACAGCUGGCAAAUAGGGGGUUAAUCAUUACAGAAAAUAAUGCAUCGUAUCUUUUCAGUUUGCUUUCUACCAAAGGGCAGUAAAAAUUUAUGCUUCAGGAAAAGGAUAAAACUGGUAUUUUCCGAGUGUGAUUGCCUCCUUUGAAAUUUCUCAGGAAACAUACACAUAGACUAUCUAUGUUACAGAACAUCCCUAACUCUCCCUAAAAGCUACAACUCUGAUUCUGGUAGAUGACCUUGAUCUUCUUAGGCUCUAUGAACACGCCUUGGGUUUCUGCAAAGUUCUAACACCUAAGGCUUGUAGGAAUAUUGAACUAUAGCAGCAUUUUUAAAAAGAGAAAAUUCUCUAGAUAGUUCAUUAAAUUAGGUAAUACUGUUGGCUAAAUUAGUUUACUUUCAAUGUUUAACAAAAAGAAUUUUAUCUUCCAAUAGUCCUAAGUACUGUGAAUUCCAUUUUAAUUUGCAUAACUUUAGCAAAUGCUUUUUUCCCCUCAUAGAGAUAAUGCUUAUUUCUUUCUUAUAUUUGUAGAAAAUUAAUUCAUGGAUACAAAAUAAAAUAGGUAUAUCUUAUUACUAUACAUCUCUCUGGUAUUGUGUUUUCCAAUUCCAGUAAAGCAAAGUUGAAAGAGCCUUCUGUCACCAGCUAGUUAUUAACAAAAACAGUAUUCAUUGCCAUUCUGGGUUGAGGCAGCAUCUGAAGCUGACUGCAGUUCGAUCCUGUGAUUAUUAACUCACUUCCCACCGGUAUCUUAUACAGGCCCAUUAUCUACUGUCAAUAUUUUUAUAGUCUAUGAGGAGAAGUCCUGCUUACUUCCUGUUAGAAGGGAGGUGACAGAGUUUUUUCUUCUUUUUUAAGUAGAUAAAUAUGUACUCUACAAAUAUGUUUGACUGAGGAGGUAAAAGGGAGGGAAAGGGGAGCCUCGCAUCUGCUGUCUCGCAGGCUCAUUGUGUGGUUAAUAAUUGCUCCAGAAUAGUUUUACAGGGUGUAGGCUUUCAGAAACAAGGAUUACUGAAAGAUCCAGGCUGAAAACCUUUUUCAGUUCGGUUCAUACACCAAAUCCUAGGUAGUAGUUAAGCUUUUUGUGGUUGAUGAUGGUUUUUUGUUUUUUUUUUUUAACAAUUUAGCUCAGUGUAAAGCAUUUUGUUUUCCUUACUUUAAGAAAUCUCUUAAAGUGUAUUUUUCUGAAAGAGAUGGACUGCUGUAUGGUUUUCCCAUCCAUAACGCCAAGUGUAUCAUGGAGCUUCACAACAUAAGACUAUCAUGGGGUAUAUUAUGACUACAAAGUUAUGUUGUCAAGGCUCUACCGUGUAUAAAUAAAUACUUUCUAAAAAGGUUUUCGUAAACAUACUCUUCAGUUCAAAGUAUGUACUUUAAAAAUGACAUUUACUCCGCCCUGUGUUCUGUAUUGCAUGGCUACUCUGAUCAAUUAAGUUAUUAGGCAAAUCACCACAGAUAGGGGAUAACAUGAAAUAUUGUGGUGAAUCAUGAUGUUUUUAAAGUUGAUUAGGACACGUACAUAAUAUUCAGCUUUGCAAAUGUUCAAGUUAAAAAUAUUUCUGUGAAAAUUAGACGAUUCUGUGUACGAGUUACAUCUUUUUAAAAGAGCAAUAGAUUUGAAGUUAAUAAAUUUAAUUUUCAUGACUAGUUUUUUCACUUAUUAAUUCUGUAUAUGUAGGGCAAAGCACUUCUCUCUCUGAAACUCAGUAUCUUUAUCUAUACAGAGGAAAGAACAAUUAAACCUGAGCUUCCUACCUCAGAAGUUGUUGUAAGAAUCAUAUAAAUCAUAUGUGAUAUAUUUAUAUAUGUAUAUUUAUAUAUACAUGCAUGUAUAUGUGAAUUAUAUAUUAUAUAUUUUAUAUUAAGAUAAUAGUAAAAUCAUAUAAGAUAACAUAUAUGUGACAGUCAGGUUAGGCCAGGUUAUGCUGUGGUAACAAACAAGACCAAAAUCUCAGUGACCCAAGCAACAAAAUAUUAUAUCCUGUUCAUGAUAUAAAACCAUAACAGGUCAGUUGGGGCUUAGCUUGUGAUCACUUAGGAACCCAGGAUGACACAGUAGCCAUCUCAUCUCAUCUCAAACAUUGCUAGUAACCAGAUGCAGAAGAAAAGAAGGGUCUGGAGGCAAUUAUAUCCUCUGCUAGAAAUUGACACAUCACUUCUGCUCCUAAUUCAUUGGCCAGAACUAUUCGAAAGGCCCUCUCCAACCAGGGGAGAUCAGGAAGCACAAGCCUACCACGGAUGAGAACUGAGACUUUUUAAAGAAUAGCUCUAACUACCACCACACUUUGUGGGGGCAAACUAUAAAAAGUGCUUUAGAGGUGGUAAAAAUUAUUUAUGAAAGAUUGGGGAUUUGUGGGAAUUAGGGCUAACAUGAAGUCAUCUAAGUCAGUACCCUUUUGUGAUUUAACUCAUUAAAUGGUAUGGAUGUAUUUCCAUGGGAGUUAGAGAAACCAUUGACCUAGAGCUUCCUGAGAUGAAGCUUGACAUUUUACUUGACUUCAAGCCAGAUCACAGUUUUCCUAAUACAUAGGUCCUUCGGCAUUCACUGAGAGAUCUAAUUUUUUUAAAAAAAUAGAUAUUGAUGCAACAAUAAAAUUUCUUUCUGUGCUUUUUGAAGGAGCAAAAAUACUGAUAAGUAAUUGCUAUAAAUAUCAUGUAUGCAUAAGUCAAUCAUCUUCAAAAUUAAAUAGCAGUCAGAUAUAUGGAAGUAAGAUAGAGCCAAUUUCAGUUAGUAAUAUAAAGUGGAAUGAAUAUACUAAAGUGCCAUAACCUCUCCUUUGGGAGUAUUUUUCAUUGUGAAAUAUGUCUCAAUUUGCAAUUCAGGUGGACUUCUUAAAAAAUUCUAUUGAAGUAUAGUUGAUUUACAGUGUUAUUUCUGCUGUACAGCAAAGUGAUUCAGUUAUGCCAAUACCCAUUUCCACAUAGGUUAUCACAGAAUAUUGAAUAGAUUUGCUUGUACCAUAUAGCAGGCCCCCAUUAAUCAUCCACCAUUCCAUAUACAAUAGUGUGCAUAUGCCAAUCCAAGCUCCAAUCCAUUCUUCCCUCUCUCCUUUCCCCUUUCAUCAUUUUUAAAGAUUCCACAUAUAGGUCAUGUCAUAUGAUAUU